rnacentral:lncRNA from 1 species
GGUACCAUCUAGGGCUGUCGGAAAUGCUCUCCCUGAGGAGCUGACUGGGAGAAAAGUGUUGUUUCAGACCCGGUCAAAACUCCAGAACUACAAGGAAACUUUUAGAAAUGAGAGCAUUGUGUUUACAUUCGCAUGUCCCCUUUCACCUGAUGAGGUGACACUGGGAAGACACACCGGAGAAGAAAGCUAAAUACUUCUGAGGAACUGGCACUGAAUUCCAAAGCUGCCAGAGAUGGUACUGGAUUGGAAUUUACAACCUUUCAUUUUCCAGGCUCCUCUUAAUGUGAUUUCGCCUGCAAUGAUAGCUCUGGCUGACAAAUAACUGACGUGGUAUCUAGCGCAAAUGAAGAGCCGCAUGAUGCUGAGACUAUCAAUCUAUCCAGUUUUCGGCUUCCUUUCUCCACAUCCCUGAUGUGCCCAGAGGACAGUGUUUCAGUGGGAGGAGUUGAUUCCCAAGGAAGCCCUGUCGUGCUGAGAGAAAAGCCAAGUUCUGAGCAGUGAGGACACUUUCUGCUUUCAUUCCUAUUUUGAAGGAGGUGAUGCGAGAAACAAGAAACAUCUUUGCUCAUGCUGAUGCAGCAAAUCUGGUAAAAGGUUUAUACCAGAAACUACAUCUGGCUUCGGACACUCCCACUCAUGUAUAGGAAAUGUCGGGGAAACUACUUCCAUGAAUUCUCACCAGCAUGGCUGCCUAAACAAGAUCUGAACAAAGACCACAUCAAGAGACAUGUCACAUGAAAAAGGGAGAGAUCCUGUGGCAUGAAUCUUACAAGCAACUAGACAAUGGAAGGAGUAGGAGAAAUCGCCUUCCCUGGGGAAGAGGUCCCAACCCUGAAGUCGUUUACAUACAGGAAUAACACGACUUACAACAUCUGCAACAGGAACUGACGAAUCCCAGGAAGAGGUGGGAGCUUGUGCCAGUGUGGGUGCCCACUCAGUUCUGACCCUGCAAAACCAGCGCUGCAGAAUUUCUUCUAUAGACACAUGCACAAAUGCUAUCCCUCUUGGACCUACAGGAGGCAACAGCCAUUGUUGCCCUGUCCUUUCUCUGCUGCCAUUUAUGAGCUGAGCUUUUAACCAGUCUGCCACAGCCAUGCCUCAGGUCUCCAGGCUACAGCCUACGAUGUGUUAUCUUCUACUAAUAAAUGCGUGGAAUUCA